rnacentral:rRNA from 1 species
GAUGAACGCUGGCGGCGUGCCUAACACAUGCAAGUCGAACGGGGCACCUUCGGGUGCUUAGUGGCGAACGGGUGAGUAACGCGUGAGAAACCUGCCUUUCAGUGGGGGACAACAGUUGGAAACGACUGCUAAUACCGCAUAAUGUCAUUUGGGGGCAUCCUCGAAUGACCAAAGAUUUAUUGCUGAAAGAUGGUCUCGCGUCUGAUUAGCUAGAUGGCGGGGUAACGGCCCACCAUGGCGACGAUCAGUAGCCGGUCUGAGAGGAUGAACGGCCACAUUGGGACUGAGAUACGGCCCAGACUCCUACGGGAGGCAGCAGUGGGGAAUAUUGGGCAAUGGGGGAAACCCUGACCCAGCAACGCCGCGUGAAGGAAGAAGGCCUUCGGGUUGUAAACUUCUUUUACCAGGGACGAACAAAUGACGGUACCUGGAGAAAAAGCAACGGCUAACUACGUG